rnacentral:rRNA from 1 species
UACGUAGGUGGCAAGCGUUGUCCGGAUUUACUGGGCGUAAAGGGCGUGCAGGCGGUUUUUUAAGUCUAGGGUGAAAGCUCCCGGCUCAACUGGGAGAGGUCCUUGGAUACUGGAAAACUUGAGGGAUGCAGAGGAAAGUGGAAUUCCCGGUGUAGUGGUGAUAUGCGUAGAUAUCAGGAGGAACACCGAUGGCGAAGGCAGCUCGCUGGGACGGUACUGACGCUGAGGCGCGAAAGCGUGGGGAGCAAACAGG